rnacentral:sRNA from 1 species
GCUGGGUGUGGUGGCACAUGCCUGUAAUCCCAGCAGUUUGGGAGGCUGAGGCAGGAGGAUUGUGAGUUCAAAGCCAGCCUCAGCAACUUAGUGAGGCACUUAGCAAUUCAGUGAGACCCUGUCUCUA